rnacentral:rRNA from 1 species
AUUGAACGCUGGCGGCAGGCCUAACACAUGCAAGUCGAGCGAGCGGCGGACGGGUGAGUAAUGUCUGGGAAACUGCCUGAUGGAGGGGGAUAACUAAUGGAAACGGUAGCUAAUACCGCAUACCACCAGACGGGCCCAGAUGGGAGUAGCGAGUAGGUGGGGUAAUGGCUCACCUAGGCGACGAUCCCUAGCUGGGCUGAGAGGAUGACCAGCCACACUGGAAAUGAGGCACGGUCCAGACUCCGAAGGGAAGCAGCAGUGGGGAAUAUUUCACAAUGGGCGCAAGCCGUAUUCAGCCAGUCCGCGUGGGUUAAGAAGGCCUUCGGGUUGUAAAGCACGUUCAGCGGGGAGGCGUUACCCGCAGAAGGAGCACCGGCUAACUUCGUGGCAGGAGCCGCGGUAAUUC